UACGGAGGGUGCGAGCGUUAAUCGGAAUUACUGGGCGUAAAGCGUGCGUAGGCGGUUUGAUAAGUCGGGUGUGAAAGCCCCGGGCUUAACCUGGGAAUUGCAUUCGAUACUGUCUGACUCGAGUCUGGGAGAGGGAAGCGGAAUUCCGGGUGUAGCGGUGGAAUGCGUAGAGAUCGGGAAGAACAUCAGUGGCGAAGGCGGCCUGCUGGGCUGUUGCUGACGCUGAGGCGCGACAGCGUGGGGAGCAAACAGG
rnacentral:rRNA from 1 species